UGUAAGUAUGGUAACAUAUUUAGCUGACUGAUACUAAUAGGUCGAGGGCUUGACCAA
rnacentral:rRNA from 1 species